rnacentral:rRNA from 1 species
UCUUAUGUACAUGCCCAAAACAUUAAUGCAUCAGAUCCUAUCAAAACUCUAUAGUUAAGUGUGCUUGGGCUAGAGUAGUAUUGGGAUGGGUGACCUCCAGAGAAAUCCUUGUGUUUUACAUGCC